rnacentral:rRNA from 1 species
CAGCAGCCGCGGGAAUACAGAGGGUGCGAGCGUUAAUCGGAUUUACUGGGCGUAAAGCGUGCGUAGGCGGCUUUUUAAGUCGGAUGUGAAAUCCCUGAGCUUAACUUAGGAAUUGCAUUCGAUACUGGGAAGCUAGAGUAUGGGAGAGGAUGGUAGAAUUCCAGGUGUAGCGGUGAAAUGCGUAGAGAUCUGGAGGAAUACCGAUGGCGAAGGCAGCCAUCUGGCCUAAUACUGACGCUGAGGUACGAAAGCAUGGGGAGCAAACAGGAUUAGAUACCCGUGUAGUCCCUGUAUCUUAUAC